CAGCACCUCAAGUGGUCAGGAUGAUUAUUGGGCCUAAAGCAUCCGUAGCCUGCUUUGUUAGUUUUCGGUUAAAUCCAUAUGCUCAACGUAUGGGCCGCCGGGAAUACUGCAAAGCUAGGGAGUGGGAGAGGUAGACGGUACUCGGUAGGAAGGGGUAAAAUCCUUUGAUCUAUUGAUGACCACCUGUGGCGAAGGCGGUCUACCAGAACACGUCCGACGGUGAGGGAUGAAAGCUGGGGGAGCAAACCGGAUUAGAUACCCGAGUAGUCC
rnacentral:rRNA from 1 species